rnacentral:tRNA from 1 species
AGUGAAUAGCUAAAUUAAGUUAGUCAUUUACAUUGAUUAGAUACCUGUGGGUUUUACUUUU